rnacentral:rRNA from 1 species
CGGAGGGAUCAUUGCUGGAACGCGCCUCGGCGCACCCAGAAACCCUUUGUGAACUUAUACCUACUGUUGCCUCGGCGCAGGCCGGCCUUUGUCAAAGAAGGCCCCCUGGGAACAGGGAGCAGCCCGCCGGCGGCCAACCAAACUCUUGUUUCUAUAGUGAAUCUCUGAGUGAAAACAUAAAUGAAUCAAAACUUUCAACAACGGAUCUCUUGGUUCUGGCAUCGAUGAAGAACGCAGCGAAAUGCGAUAAGUAAUGUGAAUUGCAGAAUUCAGUGAAUCAUCGAAUCUUUGAACGCACAUUGCGCCCUCUGGUAUUCCGGAGGGCAUGCCUGUUCGAGCGUCAUUUCAACCCUCAAGCCUGGCUUGGUGAUGGGGCACUGCUCUCUCGCGGGAGCAGGCCCUGAAAUCUAGUGGCGAGCUCGCCAGGACCCCGAGCGUAGUAGUUACAUCUCGCUCUGGAAGGCCCUGGCGGUGCCCUGCCGUUAAACCCCCAACUUCUGAAAAUUUGACCUCGGAUCAGGUAGGAAUACCCGCUGAACUUAAGCAUAUC